UGCACCUAAAAAGCGUUUUCCUGUUGGUAGAAAAGUGCUCUGGAAAAUCGUAGUUGUGUGCUAAAGCAAAAUUUCUUUCCAUUGCAAGUGACUUGAUUCAUCCUAAGAGAGUCUUUGUCCAUUUAUUUGGUGAACAGUU
rnacentral:snoRNA from 13 species